CUGCCAUCAAAGCUCUGAACCAAAGUGGCAAGGGAGGUUGAAGAGCGACGGAGUUGCGUUUAUGACCCGAUAAACCAUGGUUUGUUCUGAACUGGCUCACAGACAGCAUGAGGGCGAUUUUAAAAAGAAGCCAAGGGAACUAUUCUCCAAAUAAACUCUGUCCAUUGCAA